CUUUUCAGGGCCACACCCAUGACAUAUGGAAAUUUCCAGGCUAGGGGUCAAAUCAGAGCUAUAGCUGCUGGCCUAUGCCACAGCCACAGCAAAGUAGGAUUCAAAUCACGUCUGCCACCUACAGCACAGCUGGUGGCAACACUAGAUCCUUAACGCACUGAGUAAGGUCAGAACCCGAAACUCCUGGAUCCUAGUUGGGUUCAUGACUGCUGUGCAUGAUGGGAACUCUGGAGCCAAUUCUUAAAAGGAGCGAAGAGUAGCUGCUAUAGUAGCUAUAAGCCCUUCCUGUCCCUAUGUUCCACCCCAAAGCGACUUCAAAUAGAUGCAGAAGCUACAUGAAAAUCCACCUCCCACCUCUCACUUCCAUGCAGGCCCCCUCCCGAAAUCCCUGUGCUGCCCAAGACCGCACGCCUGAAUAGAAAGCCUUUCGAAGGAUAAAUGAAGGGUUAAAAAGUACCUGUCAGCAAUGUCUCUUGAAAUCAGUCAUUGGGAAUCAUCUGUCAGUAAGACAAAAUUAAUUACUACAUGUAAAAUGAAGAAAUCAAUGUAAAUUAAACACUGUAUAAAAGUUUAGGACACCUUGAUUGUUAAAUAAUUACUGAUACACGUGUGAAUUUGCAACAAGCCCCAGCCAGGACAUGGCUCAUGGGGCUCUUUCUAAAUUUUCCCCAAGACAAGUCUGGGUCUUGGGGUGUUUCUGCCACUUUCACCUCCAAUUACACGUGGAGGUUUGGGCAAUGCCCCGGCAAAUAGAGUAACUUGCAAAGUUCAGUGAGAUUUGAGCAGGUUCCAGCAUUCGAGGCUGGUAAAAAGGACACAACCUCAGCUGAAAUGUUAGACUCAGGAACACAGCAGGAGAAGAAGCAGCCCCUGCCACGGGGUCCCCGAGCACUUGGGAAAUUUACCAUGCUGCCCAGUGCAAAGACUUCAUUAAUUUAUGCAAAGCUGGCUUUAUUAAUGAAAUCAAAUCAGUCAGUAGAAAUAUUUUAAAUGUGGUCAUGAUUUAAGAUGUGGCUUUUGUGCCUUGCUGAAUUUCUAAGACCCAAUGCCAUGGCUUCUUGGUGUCGACAUGAAAGGGGAAAAGAAAACCCCAAGCCUGAGGUUACUGCAAACACUCGGGGAGCUGGACGGUGCACCCUGCAGCCCCUCCUCCAUUCUGGAGGAGAAAGUGCCCACAGUGCCUCUAAAUGGGAUUCAGUUGCCAAAAUUCAACAUACACACCAUUGCAGCAACAGUUCCCAUCAACAUAGCCAUUAGAAAACUCGAUUUUUUUUUUUUUUCUCUUUAGGGCCACACCUGUGGCAUAUAGAGGUUCCCAGGCUAGGGGUCCAGUCAGAGCUACAGCUGCCAGCCUACACCACAGCCACAGCAAUGUGGGAUCCGAGCCAUGUCUGCAACAUACACCAUAGCUCACGACAACGCCAGAUCCUUAACCCACUGAGCAAGGCCAGGGAUCGAACCCGCAACCUCAUGAUUCCCAGUUGGAAUCAUUUCUGCUGCACCACGAUGGAACUCUGAUUUUUUUUUUUUUUUUUUAGAACCCGUGGGGCACUUUCUCCUCAAUUUACUGGUCCUGGGACGGAUGUCACUAUCGUCGGGACUCAACUGACAGCCAGAGGUAGAGGACAGCCCUCAGGGGUUCCGUAGAACUUUCUCCCACCAAGACCCACAAACCUCAUGGCUGAAAUGGACCCCCAGUGUCCUCCAAGCGUACUUUGCAAAGACCAAUCUACAAACAUAAAAAAUUUACAAUAUACAAUUUGUAAAAUUAAGGAGCUGAAGAUUACUUAGGAAAGGACAAUUUGCAUUGCAAACGAACUUUCUGAUUUAUAGAGUCACCACGGGGUUCCUUAUAUGAGUCAAUCUAAAAUAGAUUCAGCUCACAGUGCAUCUAAAAUGGGAUUCAGUUGCCAAAAUUCAAUAUACACACCAGACCGGCAACAGCCCCCAUCCAUACAGCCAUUGGAAGGAUGAGGUACUCCAGCAGACUUGAUUUUUUUUUUUUUUUUUUUUUUUUUUUUUUUUUGUCUUUUCUAGGGCCACAUCCGUGGCAUGUGGAGGUUCUCAGGAGCAGCCCUAGAAAAGGCAAAAAAAAUAAAAAAUAAAAAAAAAAAAAAUGAACUAGUGAGGGAGAUGCUGUGUUGCAGUCUCUCCCAUCUGCCCAGCCCCCUUGGGCAGCAGCAGCAGCAGCCACGGCCCCCCGCCCCCCACCCCCCUGCACUCUCAGGCAGGCCCAUCAUGCCUCUCGCGUUCCGCCCUCAACAAAUGAACUUGUAAGGACAAUGACCCCCCGACCCCAGGUCUGCACUACCUCACAGUUGGGGCUGAGCCAGGCCCUCCUCGGCACAGUGCCCUGGGGUCUGCUCACUAUCUGGCCUUCCCUCCAGUUUAGAACUGGGUCCGAGCUGAGCAGGGGCCACUGUGCUAGGGUCACUUGAGCUCCUGCACGGGGAGGGGCUCUCACUCCCCUUGGCCUUCGCAUCCCCCUGCCCAGCCCUGGGCUGGGUAAGAGCACUGGUUGAUGAAUGGCACAGGAGUGCUGGAUGGACAGAGAGGGACUCCCCACAGGAGAGAGCAACUCCAGGCCACAGGGAGGGCUAAAGCCUAGAAGGGCCGCCACGUGUGCUAGCUCUGCAACCCUGGGUGAGUUACUUGACUUCUCUGAGCUUCAGCCCUUCAUUUAUAAAAUGGGGAUGGUCAGGACGCAUUUCCUAGGAUUGUUACAGGGACUGGAAGAUAAUCCCCUGGCAAGCGCCCGGCCCAGUGCCUGGCACUGAGCAAGCACUGGGUGAGAACUGCUCCCACUAACCUGGUGCCCUCCCUGUGCCAGGCACUACAUGCCACCCUUAGCAGCUGCAGAGGGCUCCCAUCUCUUCUUUUUCUCUGAUAACCGCCCCUCCCACCAGGAUGGGCAUUCAGUAGGUGCUCAAAAGUGACUCCAGGAGGGCUGGGAGCUCUGCGGUGUCCUGUUCUCCACAUUCUCAUUGCAGGUGGAGGCAGCGGUGGUCUCUGUGAGGGUUCAGGAGAGCGAGGAUGAGGGGCCAGCAGGGGGGCCAGCAGGAGGCCUUGGAGCCCCUGGGGUGGCGGCACAGCCACCGGGCCAGCAUCGUAACAGGCGGCUGUGACUGGUGGCAGACCCUCCGGCCCCAGGCUCUCCCACAAAGGCAAGGAUUAGCCCUGCCGCCCUGGCCAGCAGCCAGCUCAGAUCAUUUCAUUUGGCCUACUUAGCGUUCCCGGGGGUGGGGGAGGAGGUGAUUCAUCACUGUCUGGGGCACCCUUUCCCAGAGACGCUGCCACCCAGAGGGGGCUGCAUCCCUGUCAGUCUGUGUGACAAGACAGCCACAGUCCUCAGACCCUCCCCUUGGGAAGCCAACCGGGCAGGGUGACACUAGUUUGGGGUGGAGCUGUGAUGGGCCUUCAGAAACCCAGGAGCAGAGACCGGCAGGUCCGCUUCCUGCAGCUGGGGGCGGGGUCACGUCAUUAACUCUCCCCACACCAUCCGCUCUCCUUCUGUCUCAGGCCACCACCUCCUGAGAGGAGAGGCAGGCCUGCUGUGGGAAGAGUAAAGCAGGAGAAGCCCUGGUGUCUGCCAGCUAGAUACCAACAGGCUGGGGACCCCCUCUCUAUGGUACACGGGGUUUGAGAGUCAGCUUUGAAGGGGUGGGGCUACAGCCCAGAGAGGCCAAGUAAGCUGUCCAAGGUCACACAGCACAGUGAAGGUGGGCUGGAGCCCAGUUCUCUAGUCUUCCAGCCUAGAGCCUUUCUUUUUGGUUUGUUUUGGGGUUUGCUUUUUAGGGCUGCGCAGGUGGCCCAUGGAAGUUCCCAGGCUAGGGGUCAAAUCUACCCUACACCGUAGCCACAGUGAUGCCAGAUCCUUAAUCUACUGAUCGAGGCCAGGGAUCAAACCGGCGUGCUCAUGGAUUCGUUUCUGCUGCUCUACAAGGGGACCUCGGUAGCUCCUUUCUACAAAUGUCUUUGUCACGUGGGAUGUGACGCUGCAGCCCCAGAAACACAGGUGGUCAGAAGAGCCUCCAGGGAGUUGGAGGGAGGAGGGGCUGAGGGCUCUCAAGCUCCUCCUUCAGGAGGGGGCCUAUGUGGUCUCCGGGAGGGAACCCCCCCCCACCAAGAUGAAGGCACUAACCCAGCCUCCACUCUCUGGGGGCUCAACACCUCGACCAAUUACCACCAGCCUGGUGAUGCUGCCUCUCUCCCCACAUGUCAAGAGUUUGGCUCAGUCUUGUGAAAAAAAAAAAAGAAAAAAACAAAACCUCCACGCCCGAUGGAACAAAAGAAGGAUGGAGAGAAGCGAGGCCGUGAAGGUGAAGGCCUCGGGCUGCAGAGCCAAGCCGGCGGGGCGCCCCGGGGAGGCGGGUGCUGGCUGGGCUGCCCGGGCUGGCAUGCGGCAUCCGGGCACCUGCCCGCCGUUCCCUUCCCUCUGCACUCGUCAUUAAGAAACACCUGUGUUUCUCCAUCAGGCUGCACAUUUGGGGAGAGCCCCCCUCCCCUGCCCCGGCACCUUGUAGGGACCUAGCAUCCCUUCCCAAGUCCACAGGGCAGCCGAUGGCCUCCAUCCUGCCCCUCCGAGAGCAGAGGCGAGACUCCUGGGAGCCCCAACUUCACGGAGCCUGCUUCAAAAUGGCCGAAGCCCCCCACCCCCACACCCCGGAACUUUGAAAUCAGGAUCGACUCCUCGAUGGGCCUCCUUGCCAACACUCACGCCCAUGCCAGCUUUCUCACAAACGAACAGCUUGUAUCCCCAUGAAAAUCAAUGGAUGGAACAAAUUGUAUUAAAUUAUGUAAAAUGAUACUAAAGAGCACAUUCUACCAGUGCAAAGGAAAAAAAAAAUAACCCCCCAGAAAAUCUUAUUUUAAUAAAUCUGGCAAAAUUAUAGGAGACAAUUAGGAGGAAAAAAAAAUGCCGAAUUUUUAUGACACUUAAAGACACAUCUCUUGGCCAUAAGCAGAUAGGCAGAAUUUUUUCCCUCUCAUAGGUCAGACAGGCGUAAUUCUUUUGUGUCUGACAUCUGUGAGUUAUUUAGUGCCCCGUGCACCAGGCAGAGAUGUCUCCUGCCUGGCGCCCUCGGUGGACACGGCCUGGACCAGGCGGCACAAGCAAGCUCGUGUUUUUUGGAACCAAAUUUCCUUCCCUUUCACAUGGCUGCUUUUUUUUUUUUUUCUUGGAAAAUAACUGUAAUUAGCAUUGAACUUGCAAUAUAACCUCUUGCCUAUAUGCGGAAAAAAUCAUUUAAAAAUAUUUUAGCCACUUCCAUCUUUUCAAUUCCCUAGCACAGCUGCCAUUUAAAAAAAAAAAAA
rnacentral:lncRNA from 1 species